rnacentral:rRNA from 1 species
GUGGGGAAUAUUGGACAAUGGGGGGAACCCUGAUCCAGCCAUGCCGCGUGUGUGAAGAAGGCCUUUUGGUUGUAAAGCACUUUAAGCGAGGAGGAGGCUACCGAGAUUAAUACUCUUGGAUAGUGGACGUUACUCGCAGAAUAAGCACCGGCUAACUCUGUGCCAGCAGCCGCGGUAAUACAGAGGGUGCGAGCGUUAAUCGGAUUUACUGGGCGUAAAGCGUGCGUAGGCGGCUUUUUAAGUCGGAUGUGAAAUCCCCGAGCUUAACUUGGGAAUUGCAUUCGAUACUGGGAAGCUAGAGUAUGGGAGAGGAUGGUAGAAUUCCAGGUGUAGCGGUGAAAUGCGUAGAGAUCUGGAGGAAUACCGAUGGCGAAGGCAGCCAUCUGGCCUAAUACUGACGCUGAGGUACGAAAGCACGGGGAGCAAACAGGAUUAGAUACCCUGGUAGUCC